CCUACGGGUGGCAGCAGUGAGGAAUAUUGGUCAAUGGGCGCGAGCCUGAAGCAGCCAAGUCGCGUGAAGGAUGACUGCCCUACGGGUUGUAAGCUUCUUUUCCCAGGGACGAAGCAAGUGACGGUACCUGAGGAGUAAGCCCCGGCUAACUACGUGCCAGCAGCCGCGGUAAUACGUAGGUGGCAAGCGUUAUCCGGAUUUACUGGGUGUAAAGGGCGUGUAGGCGGGGACGCAAGUCAGAUGUGAAAACCACGGGCUCAACCUGUGGCCUGCAUUUGAAACUGUGUUGCUUGAGUACUGGAGAGGCAGACGGAAUUCCUAGUGUAGCGGUGAAAUGCGUAGAUAUUAGGAGGAACACCAGUGGCGAAGGCGGUCUGCUGGACAGCAACUGACGCUGAGGCGCGAAAGCGUGGGGAGCAAACAGGAUUAGAUACCCCAGUAGUC
rnacentral:rRNA from 1 species